rnacentral:rRNA from 1 species
GACGAACGCUGGCGGCGUGCCUAAUACAUGCAAGUAGGACGCAGUUGCGAACGGGUGAGUAACGCGUAGGUAACUGCCUAUUAGAGGGGGAUAACUAUUGGAAACGAUAGCUAAUACCGCAUACUAGUAGAUGGAGCUGCGUUGUAUUGGCUAGUAGGUAGGGAAAUGGCCGACCUAGGCGACGAUACAUAGCCGACCGGAGAGGGUGAUCGGCCACACCGGGACCGAGCAGCUGCCCCGACUCCUACGGGAGGCAGACGUAGGGAAUUUUCGGCAAUGGGGGGAACCCUUACCGAGGAACGCCGCGUGAGUGAAGAAGGUUUUCGGGUCGGAAAGCUCUGUUGUUAAGGAAGCGGUACUUACCCAGAAAGGGACGGCUAACUACGUGCCAGCAGCCGCGGUAAUUC